rnacentral:rRNA from 1 species
UUUAUGGAGAGUUUGAUCCUGGCUCAGAGUGAACGCUGGCGGCGUGCCUAAUACAUGCAAGUCGAACGAUGAAGCUCCUAGCUUGCUAGAGUGCUGAUUAGUGGCGCACGGGUGAGUAACGCAUAGGUCAUGUGCCUCUUAGUUUGGGAUAGCCAUUGGAAACGAUGAUUAAUACCAGAUACUCCCUACGGGGGAAAGAUUUAUCGCUAAGAGAUCAGCCUAUGUCCUAUCAGCUUGUUGGUAAGGUAAUGGCUUACCAAGGCUAUGACGGGUAUCCGGCCUGAGAGGGUGAACGGACACACUGGAACUGAGACACGGUCCAGACUCCUACGGGAGGCAGCAGUAGGGAAUAUUGCUCAAUGGGGGAAACCCUGAAGCAGCAACGCCGCGUGGAGGAUGAAGGUUUUAGGAUUGUAAACUCCUUUUGUUAGAGAAGAUAAUGACGGUAUCUAACGAAUAAGCACCGGCUAACUCCGUGCCAGCAGCCGCGGUAAUACGGAGGGUGCAAGCGUUACUCGGAAUCACUGGGCGUAAAGAGCGCGUAGGCGGGAUAGUCAGUCAGGUGUGAAAUCCUAUGGCUUAACCAUAGAACUGCAUUUGAAACUACUAUUCUAGAGUGUGGGAGAGGUAGGUGGAAUUCUUGGUGUAGGGGUAAAAUCCGUAGAGAUCAAGAGGAAUACUCAUUGCGAAGGCGACCUGCUGGAACAUUACUGACGCUGAUUGUGCGAAAGCGUGGGGAGCAAACAGGAUUAGAUACCCUGGUAGUCCACGCCCUAAACGAUGGAUGCUAGUUGUUGGAGGGCUUAGUCUCUCCAGUAAUGCAGCUAACGCAUUAAGCAUCCCGCCUGGGGAGUACGGUCGCAAGAUUAAAACUCAAAGGAAUAGACGGGGACCCGCACAAGCGGUGGAGCAUGUGGUUUAAUUCGAAGAUACACGAAGAACCUUACCUAGGCUUGACAUUGAGAGAAUCCGCUAGAAAUAGUGGAGUGUCUGGCUUGCUAGACCUUGAAAACAGGUGCUGCACGGCUGUCGUCAGCUCGUGUCGUGAGAUGUUGGGUUAAGUCCCGCAACGAGCGCAACCCCCUUUCUUAGUUGCUAACAGGUCAUGCUGAGAACUCUAAGGAUACUGCCUCCGUAAGGAGGAGGAAGGUGGGGACGACGUCAAGUCAUCAUGGCCCUUACGCCUAGGGCUACACACGUGCUACAAUGGGGUGCACAAAGAGAAGCAAUACUGCGAAGUGGAGCCAAUCUUCAAAACACCUCUCAGUUCGGAUUGUAGGCUGCAACUCGCCUGCAUGAAGCUGGAAUCGCUAGUAAUCGCAAAUCAGCCAUGUUGCGGUGAAUACGUUCCCGGGUCUUGUACUCACCGCCCGUCACACCAUGGGAGUUGUGUUUGCCUUAAGUCAGGAUGCUAAAUUAGCUACUGCCCACGGCACACACAGCGACUGGGGUGAAGUCGUAACAAGGUAACCGUAGGUGAACCUGCGGUUGGAUCACCUCCUUUCUA